rnacentral:rRNA from 1 species
GCACAGGUGCUGCAUGGCUGUCGUCAGCUCGUGUCGUGAGAUGUUCGGUUAAGUCCGCUAACGAGCGCAACCCUCACUGUGUGUUAUAUGUGUCGACACGGGACUGCCGGUUUUAAGCCGGAGGAAGGUGGGAUGACGUCAAGUCAGCAUGGCCUUUAUAUCCUGGGCUACACACACGCUACAAUGGUCGGUACAAUAGGUUGCCAAGCCGCGAGGCGGAGCCAAUCCAAAAAAGCCGGCCUCAGUUCAGAUUGUAGGCUGCAACUCGCCUGCAUGAAGAUGGAGUUGCUAGUAACCGCAGGUCAGCAAUACUGCGGUGAAUACGUUCCCGGGUCUU